CUACGGGCGGCUGCAGUGAGGAAUAUUGCACAAUGGGGGGAACCCUGAUGCGGCAACGCCGCGUGGAGGAUGACGCAUUUCGGUGUGUAAACUCCUUUUAUAUGUCAAGAAAAUGACGGUAGCAUAUGAAUAAGCACCGGCUAACUCCGUGCCAGCAGCCGCGGUAAUACGGAGGGUGCAAGCGUUACUCGGAAUCACUGGGCGUAAAGGACGCGUAGGCGGGUUGGAAAGUCAGGUGUGAAAUCCUACAGCUUAACUGUAGAACUGCACUUGAAACUUCUAAUCUAGAGUAUGGGAGGGGGAGAUGGAAUUAGUGGUGUAGGGGUAAAAUCCGUAGAUAUCACUAGGAAUACCUAAAGCGAAGGCGAUCUCCUGGAACAUUACUGACGCUAAGGUGUGAAAGCGUGGGGAGCAAAUAGGAUUAGAUACCCCGGUAGUC
rnacentral:rRNA from 1 species